rnacentral:lncRNA from 1 species
AGCUGCGCCUCCCUGCAGCCGGGUCUGGGAGCCUGGCUCUGAACCCCAGGCUCACGCAGGGAGCUCUGGAGCCCUUUGAGGUGACGUCGCUCCCGCCCCUUGCUGGCCUCCUGCACUCAGAGCGGCUGCCAGGAGAGAAGCCCAGGCCUGGCUGCAGGUGGGCACGUGGG